GUUUUCUGCCCGUUGUGACGUAGGAUUUGGUCGAAAUGUUUUGUCGUAGGUCCAGUAUGACUAAAUCUUAAUUUGUCCUUCUUUUUCCCUUAGAUUCUGGCAGAAUUCUGUCGCUUAGCAAGCAAAAACAAGUUCUUUAAAGAACUUGAUAAAUGCACUUCUCGCUUCCUUGAGAUUUUCAAGUUGGGGUUGUUUGCAAGGAUCUUAUGGAAUAUCUGCAACAAGUCACUCCAGCAAGCACAGAUGUCACUGGGAAGCGGACAGCAGUCCCCCGUGGCCUUCCGGCGAUCAGAGCACUGACUUCAAGACAUGCUUUGACUGCAAUGACCUUCCCAACACAUUGCACACCUCCAUGGGGAUCGGUGCGGCCUAUCCUCGCUCACUGCACCUUGAGUCGACCGCCAAUGCAAUCGUUUUGGAAGUAACACUGGUCUUAAGUGACCUUCAAAAUUUUCCGCAUGCCAUGUGCCUACUCUAUUCACACCCUGAAUUUGGAGUACCCUCAGACUCUGGACACCUGCUGACACUGAUUUGCCUGAACCGAAGGCAAUCCGAAUGGUAAUGUGGCCAACAGAGAAACGUAUGGGUUGAAUAUCUUAUCUGGAUUUUAUCCACGAAGCAAAUGAGGGAUAGGAUUUUGGUAAUCCAUCAAGAACAUGAUAUUAAAGUGAAUAAAGAGAGAAAUAAGUACUGCUGGUAGCACUAGAGUGAAGCUCAGGGGAUCAACAUACUAAGAAGAUUCAUCUUGAGGCGACCAAUACUGUAUGAAACAAUGUUGUAAAAUGUGAAUGUAAAAUAUCUUUUAAAUUCAUAAACAAAGUAGUCACGGUCAAAUAAAUUGUAUACAAUGCAUUAUUGACUCUUUCAAAAGUCCAAACGUGUCAAUGUUGUAAUGUAGGUGAUGUAAUAAUACUAGGCAAUAGAAAUAAGAAGCCUAAUUGUAUAUGCAGUUCAAGUGGUAUAAAGUGUGGAUUAUAACCGGAGUGUAGGUGUUGGUCCUGAUACUAACAGCAAAUAGCAAUAAUCUAAAGUCCUUGUGAUCUGCUGAAAACACAAAUAUUUCAAGGGCUUCGAAAAUAUCACAGUAGACAUUAGAGCUGCACCUUUCCGAUGGCUGCUUUCUGUCCAAGUUUAUUUUUAUUUAAAAAUAUCAUGCAAAUUGUCUUCCAAAGUUAGUUUCAAUGACAUCAGUCACUGUAUCAGUAUUUAAUUUCACUCUACAAACUGUAGAUAAGUACGUUGAUAUACACCAACAUUGCUAGAUUAAUACUUGAUAGUUUUUAAAUCAAACAUUUUUUUAUCUUAAACUAUGGAUACAUCUGCACACUUAUGCCUUAAGAAAAUGAAAAUGAUCAGCUUCAGUUAAUGAUUUCCAUCUUCAAGGUUGCAAGAAUGUGUGCGGAUUUGGCUUACUAAAAUAUCUUUCCGGGAAAUAUAAGACCUUUGGUUGGGCUGAGCAAUAAACAUUCACCCUACUCUGCGCUGUUUUCCUUUUCUUAAAUUUCAUGGUAAAGUGUUCCAAAAUCAUGUUGUAAAGUCAGAUCGCUGGAGUCACAAGAUAUGGGGGUGACUUCAAUGUCUUUGAUUGCAUUACAUACCUAGUCAAACUCAAUUAUUUCUCUGAUCAGGUAAGGUGUCAAAAGGAUGUCAGAAUUCUUCUUUUACUGUGGUAUCUCAAAACACAGACCGAUACCUACCUGACCAUCUCUGCUCUCCUCCCCCAAACUAAACCCUUAAACCAAUGUAUGAAACUGCAAAUGGAUUAAGACUGCAUAUACAGCCUCAAGCAAAUGCGUGGCAGGGCAAAGGAGGUGCAUUUCUAAAGUUAGGGAAAAAGCUUGUGCUCCCACAGCUCUUUUACUUAAAAUAGUUCUUUAAAGUGAUCAUUUGUAUUUCAGUUUCUCAUACUGUUUUUAAUGUAGAAUCUGAAAGCAAUGGAUUCUAAAAGCGCAGAUGAGGGCCGUUAAUCCAUAAAUGCUUAAAAUAUGGAGCCGUGCACGGGAGAGCUGCUGACAAACCAACGCAAUAAUAACAAAG
ensembl:lncRNA